UUCCCUCCCCCACAAAGCUGGUCUUCAAAGAUGUGGGAAGAGCUGUAGAUUUAAUGGACUAAUUAUCUUAAACCUGGGAUUAGGAGAGGGGAAUUCACACCUGAGGAAGAUGAAACCGUUAUUAAACUUCAUGCUCAAUUAGGCAACAGGUGGGCAGCAAUAGCCAGGCACUUUCCAAGGAGAACA